CGAGUGAACAUGAUGAUUUUUGCUGCGAUUUCCUGAAUUCGCCAUGUGGAGAUCCAUCUUGGAGAGCUGAGCACUCG